CAGUCGCCACGGUAAUACGUAGGUGGCAAGCGUUGUCCGGAAUUAUUGGGCGUAAAGGGCUCGCAGACGGUUUCUUAAGUCUGAUGUGAAAGCCCCCGGCUCAACCGGGGAGGGUCAUUGGAAACUGGGAAACUUGAGUGCAGAAGAGGAGAGUGGAAUUCCACGUGUAGCGGUGAAAUGCGUAGAGAUGUGGAGGAACACCAGUGGCGAAGGCGACUCUCUGGUCUGUAACUGACGCUGAGGAGCGAAAGCGUGGGGAGCGAACAGGAUUAGAUACCCCCGUAGUCCCUGUCUCUUAUAC
rnacentral:rRNA from 1 species